AAUGAACGCUGGCGGUGUGCUUAACACAUGCAAGUCGAGCGAGAAAGCUCCUUCGGGAGUGAGUAAAGCGGCGGACGAGUUAGUAACACGUGAGAAUCUGCCCUUCAGUGAAGAAUACCCUCGAGAAAUCGAGGUUAAUGCUGCAUACGUCCCUUCGGGGAGAAAGGUGGCCUCUUGCUGCCGCUGAAGGAUGAGCUUGCGGACUAUUAGCUAGUUGGUGGGGUAAAGGCCUACCAAGGCUAUGAUGGUUAGCCGGCCCGAGAGGGCGUCCGGCAACGCUGGAACUUAGACACGGUCCAGACUCCUACGGGGGGGCAGCAGUGAGGAAUCUUGCGCAAUGGGCGAAAGCCUGACGCAGCGACACCGCGUGGAGGAUGAAGGUCUUCGGAUCGUAAACUCCUGUUAAGUGGGAAGAAAGACUUAUCCUUAAUACGGAUAAGGGAUGACUGUACCAUUAGAGAAAGCACCGGCUAACUUCGUG
rnacentral:rRNA from 1 species